rnacentral:rRNA from 1 species
AGAGUUUGAUCCUGGCUCAGGAUAAACGCUAGCGGCAGGCCUAACACAUGCAAGUCGAGGGGCAGCAGGGAAGUAGCUUGCUACUUCUGCUGGCGACCGGCGCACGGGUGCGUAACGCGUAUGCAACCUACCUUUAACAGGGGGAUAACACUGAGAAAUUGGUACUAAUACCCCAUAAUAUCAUAGAAGGCAUCUUUUAUGGUUGAAAAUUCCGAUGGUUAGAGAUGGGCAUGCGUUGUAUUAGCUAGUUGGUGAGGUAACGGCUCACCAAGGCGACGAUACAUAGGGGGACUGAGAGGUUAACCCCCCACACUGGUACUGAGACACGGACCAGACUCCUACGGGAGGCAGCAGUGAGGAAUAUUGGUCAAUGGACGCAAGUCUGAACCAGCCAUGCCGCGUGCAGGAUGAAUGUGCUAUGCAUUGUAAACUGCUUUUGUACGAGGGUAAAAACAGGUACGUGUACCUGGUUGAAAGUAUCGUACGAAUAAGGGUCGGCUAACUCCGUGCCAGCAGCCGCGGUAAUACGGAGGACCCGAGCGUUAUCCGGAUUUAUUGGGUUUAAAGGGUGCGUAGGCGGAUUGGUAAGUUAGAGGUGAAAGCUCAGCGCUUAACGUUGAAACUGCCUCUGAUACUGUCGGUCUAGAGUAUAGUUGCGGAAGGCGGAAUGUGUGGUGUAGCGGUGAAAUGCUUAGAUAUCACACAGAACACCGAUUGCGAAGGCAGCUUUCCAAGCUAUCACUGACGCUGAGGCACGAAAGCGUGGGGAGCGAACAGGAUUAGAUACCCUGGUAGUCCACGCCGUAAACGAUGAUAACUCGUUGCAGGCGAUACACAGUCUGUGACUUAGCGAAAGCGUUAAGUUAUCCACCUGGGGAGUACGUUCGCAAGAAUGAAACUCAAAGGAAUUGACG